CCUACGGGGGGCUGCAGUGGGGAAUAUUGCACAAUGGGCGCAAGCCUGAUGCAGCCAUGCCGCGUGUGUGAAGAAGGCCUUCGGGUUGUAAAGCACUUUCAGCGGGGAGGAAGGCGGUGAGGUUAAUAACCUCAUCGAUUGACGUUACCCGCAGAAGAAGCACCGGCUAACUCCGUGCCAGCAGCCGCGGUAAUACGGAGGGUGCAAGCGUUAAUCGGAAUUACUGGGCGUAAAGCGCACGCAGGCGGUCUGUCAAGUCGGAUGUGAAAUCCCCGGGCUCAACCUGGGAACUGCAUUCGAAACUGGCAGGCUAGAGUCUUGUAGAGGGGGGUAGAAUUCCAGGUGUAGCGGUGAAAUGCGUAGAGAUCUGGAGGAAUACCGGUUGCGAAGGCGGCCCCCUGGACAAAGACUGACGCUCAGGUGCGAAAGCGUGGGGAGCAAACAGGAUUAGAUACCCCAGUAGUC
rnacentral:rRNA from 1 species